UACGUAGGGGCAAGCGUUGUCCGGAAUCAUUGGGCGUAAAGCGCGUGUAGGCGGCUGACUAAGUCCGCUCUGAAAGCCCGGGGCUCAACCCCGGGAGGCGGGUGGAUACUGGUCAGCUCGAGUCCGGAAGAGGAGUGUGGAAUUCCGUGGUGUAGCGGUGAAAUGCGCAGAUAUCAGGAGGAACACCAAUGGCGAAGGCAGCACUCUGGGACGGUACUGACGCUGAGACGCGAAAGCGUGGGGAGCGAACAGG
rnacentral:rRNA from 1 species